rnacentral:rRNA from 1 species
GACGAACGCUGGCGGCGUGCUUAACACAUGCAAGUCGAACGGUAAGGCCCUUCGGGGUACACGAGUGGCGAACGGGUGAGUAACACGUGGGUGAUCUGCCCUGCACUUCGGGAUAAGCCUGGGAAACUGGGUCUAAUACCGGGUAGGACCCUGGGAUGCAUGUCCUGGGGUGGAAAGCUUUUGCGGUGUGGGAUGGGCGCGCGGCCUAUCAGCGUGUUGGUGGGGUGAUGGCCUACCAAGGCGACGACGGGUAGCCGGCCUGAGAGGGUGACCGGCCACACUGGGACUGAGGUACGGCCCAGACUCCUACGGGAGGCAGGAGUGGGGAAUAUUGCACAAUGGGCGCAAGCCUGAUGCAGCGACGCCGCGUGAGGGAUGACGGCCUUCGGGUUGUAAACCUCUUUCAGCACCGACGAAGCGCAAGUGACGGUAGGUGCAGAAGAAGGACCGGCCAACUACGUGCCAGCCGCCGCGGUAA